rnacentral:rRNA from 1 species
CAGGUCCUAACACAUGCAAGUCGAACGAGUGCCUUCGGGUGCUAGUGGCGCACGGGUGCGUAACGCGUGGGAAUCUGCCCCUUGGUUCGGAAUAACCGUUGGAAACGACGGCUAAUACCGGAUGAUGACGUAAGUCCGAAGAUUUAUCGCCGAGGGAUGAGCCCGCGUAGGAUUAGGUAGUUGGUGUGGUAAAGGCGCACCAAGCCGACGAUCCUUAGCUGGUCUGAGAGGAUGAUCAGCCACACUGGGACUGAGACACGGCCCAGACUCCUACGGGAGGCAGCAGUGGGGAAUAUUGGACAAUGGGCGAAAGCCUGAUCCAGCAAUGCCGCGUGAGUGAUGAAGGCCUUAGGGUUGUAAAGCUCUUUUACCCGGGAUGAUAAUGACAGUACCGGGAGAAUAAUCUCCGGCUAACUCCGUGCCAGCAGCCGCGGUAAU